CCCUUAGAUGUUCUGGGCUGCACGCGCGCUACACUGAUGCGCUCAACGAGUUUACGACCUUGCCCGGAAGGGUUGGGUAAUCUUUUUAAAACGCAUCGUGAUGGGGAUAGAUUAUUGCAAUUAUUAAUCUUUAACGAGGAAUGCCUAGUAGGCGCAAGUCAUCAGCUUGCGUCGAUUACGUCCCUGCCCUUUGUACACACCGCCCGUCGCUCCUACCGAUUGGGUGUGCUGGUGAAAUGUUCGGAUCGGCCGUUUGUCGCGGUUUCCGCGUCAUGUGGCUGAGAAGUUCAUUAAACCCUCCCACCUAGAGGAAGGAGAAGUCGUAACA
rnacentral:rRNA from 1 species